GACGAACGCUGGCGGCGUGCUUAACACAUGCAAGUCGAACGGUGAAGGGGUCUGCUUUUGUGGGCCCUGGAUGAGUAGCGAACGGGUGAGUAACACGUGAGUAACCUGCCCCCUUCUUCUGGAUAACCGCAUGAAAGUGUGGCUAAUACGGGAUAUUCUGGGUCUGUCGCAUGAUGGGUCUGGGAAAGAUUGCGCCUUUGGGUGUUUUUGGUGGGGGAUGGGCUCGCGGCCUAUCAGCUUGUUGGUGGGGUGAUGGCCUACCAAGGCGGUGACGGGUAGCCGGCCUGAGAGGGUGGACGGUCACACUGGGACUGAGACACGGCCCAGACUCCUACGGGAGGCAGCAGUGGGGAAUAUUGCACAAUGGGCGCAAGCCUGAUGCAGCGACGCCGCGUGAGGGAUGGAGGCCUUCGGGGUGUAAACCUCUUUCGCCAGUGAAGCAGGCCUGCUCCUUGUGGGUGGGUUGACGGUAGCUGGAUAAGAAGCGCCGGCUAACUACGUG
rnacentral:rRNA from 1 species